CGGGAGUAAGUAGUCUGGGAACGUGCCUGAUGGGGGGAGGUAACUACUGGAAACGGUAGCUAAUACCGCAUAACGUCGCAAGACCAAAGUGGGGGACCGUUCGGGCCUCAUGCCAUCAGAUGUGCCCAGAUGGGAUUAGCUAGUAGGUGGGGUAACGGCUCACCUAGGCGACGAUCCCUAGCUGGUCUGAGAGGAUGACCAGCCACACUGGAACUGAGACACGGUCCAG
rnacentral:rRNA from 1 species